UAAGCGGAGGAAAAGAAACUAACAAGGAUUCCCCUAGUAGCGGCGAGCGAAGCGGGAUGAGCUCAAAUUUGUAAUCUGGCGUCUCCCGACGUCCGAGUUGUAAUCUAUAGAAGCGUUUUCCGUGACGGACCGCGUCCAAGUCCCUUGGAAUAGGGUAUCAAAGAGGGUGAGAAUCCCGUGCUUGAUGCGACGACCGUUGCCCUGUGAUACGUUCUCUACGAGUCGAGUUGUUUGGGAAUGCAGCUCUAAACGGGUGGUAAAUUCCAUCUAAGGCUAAAUAUUGGCGAGAGACCGAUAGCGAACAAGUACCGUGAGGGAAAGAUGAAAAGCACUUUGGAAAGAGAGUUAAACAGUAUGUGAAAUUGUUGAAAGGGAAACGAUUGAAGUCAGUCGUGUCCAUCGGAUUCAGCCGGCCCCGCCGGUGUAUUUCCUUUGGACGGGUCAACGGUCUUCUGGUCGGCGGAUAAAGGCAUGCGGAAGGUGGCACCCUCGGGUGUGUUAUAGCCUCGUGUCUCAUACGCCGGUCGGGGGAUUUGUACUUGGGCUUGCCAUGUUGUUGACGUAAUGGCUUUAAACGACCCGUCUUGAAACACG
rnacentral:rRNA from 1 species